GAUGAACGCUGGCGGCGUGCCUAAUACAUGCAAGUCGAGCGAACAGACGAGGAGCUUGCUCCUCUGACGUUAGCGGCGGACGGGUGAGUAACACGUGGAUAACCUACCUAUAAGACUGGGAUAACUUCGGGAAACCGGAGCUAAUACCGGAUAAUAUAUUGAACCGCAUGGUUCAAUAGUGAAAGACGGUUUUGCUGUCACUUAUAGAUGGAUCCGCGCCGCAUUAGCUAGUUGGUAAGGUAACGGCUUACCAAGGCGACGAUGCGUAGCCGACCUGAGAGGGGAAUCGGCCACACUGGAACUGAGACACGGUCCAGACUCCUACGGGAGGCAGCAGUAGGGAAUCUUCCGCAAUGGGCGAAAGCCUGACGGAGCAACGCCGCGUGAGUGAUGAAGGUCUUCGGAUCGUAAAACUCUGUUAUUAGGGAAGAACAAAUGUGUAAGUAACUAUGCACGUCUUGACGGUACCUAAUCAGAAAGCCACGGCUAACUACGU
rnacentral:rRNA from 1 species